rnacentral:tRNA from 1 species
UAGCUCAGUUGGUAGAGCAUGGCGCUUGCAACGCCAGGAUGGUGGGUUCGUUUCCCAC